GUCGGGAUGGCGAAAUUGGAAGACGCGCUCGUCUUAUGAACGAGUUACUGUACCAACAGUUUGCGGGUUCAAGUCCCGCUCCCGGCG
rnacentral:tRNA from 1 species